rnacentral:rRNA from 1 species
UACGGAAGGGGCAAGCGUUGUUCGGAAUCAUUGGGCGUAAAGGGCGCGUAGGUGGUUCUGUAUGUCUACCGUGAAAGCAUACGGCUCAACUGUAUUUUGUCGGUAGAAACUGCAGGACUUGAGGCUGGGAGGGGCUGGUGGAAUUCCCUGUGUAGCGGUGAAGUGCGUAGAGAUGGGGGAGAACACUCGUGGCGAAGGCGGCCAGCUAGACCAGUUCUGACACUGAGGCGCGACAGCGUGGGGAGCAAACAGG